UCCAUCCUACGGGGGGCAGCAGUGAGGAAUAUUGGUCAAUGGGCGGGAGCCUGAACCAGCCAAGUCGCGUGAGGGACGACGGUCCUAUGGAUUGUACACCUCUUUUGUCGGGGAACAAAGGCGUCCACGGGUGGGCGGAUGAGUGUACCCGAAGAAAAAGCAUCGGCUAACUCCGUGCCAGCAGCCGCGGUAAUACGUAGGGGGCAAGCGUUAUCCGGAUUUACUGGGUGUAAAGGGAGCGUAGACGGCGCGGCAAGUCUGAAGUGAAAGGCAGGGGCUUAACCCCUGAACUGGUUUGGAAACUG
rnacentral:rRNA from 1 species